UACGGAGGAUCCAAGCGUUAUCCGGAAUUACUGGGCGUAAAGAGUUGCGUAGGUGGCAUAGUAAGCGGGUAGUGAAAGCGUUCGGCUCAACCGAAUAAACAUUACUUGAACUGCUAAGCUCGAGGAUGAGGGAGGUUAUUGGAAUUCCCAGUGUAGGAGUGAAAUCCGUAGAUAUUGGGAGGAACACCGAUGGCGUAGGCAGAUAACUGGCUCAUUCCUGACACUAAGGCACGAAAGCGUGGGUAGCAAACGGG
rnacentral:rRNA from 1 species